CUGCUUGAGCAGCAGAGGUAGCUUCCUUAAAUUUCACGUUCCAUUACUGCCUACCAAUAGAAAAAUUACCAUUACCAUCUCAAGGAAAUGAUUGCCCAUGUUCCAACCUUUCAUCCUUGAAACCUAAGUGGCAUGAACCGCUAUCAUCAACACAAUAUUGCCUUGAAAGUUCUACAACAACUCUGACAGCUAGGCUUGCAUGUUCUACAAACUUAGUCGCUCCUUGAGCAGCUGAGGUAGCAUCCUUAAAUUUCAUUUUACAAUUAUGCCUGCCAACAGAAAAAUUACCAUUACCAUCUCAAGGAAAUGAUUGCCCAUGUUCCAACCUUUCAUCCUUAAAACCUAAGUGGCAUGAACCACCAUCAUCAACACAAUAUUGCCUUGAAAGUUCUCCAACAGCUCUGGCAGCUAGGCUUGCAUGUUCUCCAAACUCAGCCGCUGCUUGAGCAGCAGAGGUAGCAUCCUUAAAUUUCCUGUUCCAAUUCUGCCUGCCAACAGAAAAAUUACCAUCACCAUCUAAAGGAAAUGAUUGCCCAUGUUCUAACCUUUCAUCCUUGAAACCUAAGUGGCAUGAACCACCAUCAUCAACACAAUAUUGCCUUGAAAGUUCUACAACAGCUCUGACAACUAGGCUUGCAUGUUCUGCAAACUCAGCCGCUGCUUGAGCAGCAAAGGUAGUAUCCUUAAAUUUCAUGUUCCAAUUCUGCUUGCCAACAGAAAAAUUACCAUUACCAUCUCUAGGAAAUGCUUGCCCAUGUUUCAACCCUUCUUCCUUGAAACCUAAGUUGCAUGAACCACCAUCAUCAACACAAUAUUGCCUUGAAAGUUAUCCAACAGCUCUGGUAGCUAGGCUUCCAUGUUCUCCAAACUCAGCCGCUGCUUGACCAGCAGUGGUAGCAUCAUUAAAUUUCCUGUUCCAAUACUGCCUACCAACAGAAAAAUUACCAUUACUAUCUCAAGGAAAUGAUUGUCCAUGUUCCAACAUUUCAUCCUUGAAAACUAAGUUGCAUGAACCACCAUCAUCAAUACAAUAUUGCCUUGAAAGUUCUACAACAGCUCUGGCAGCUAGGCUUGCAUGUUCUCCAAACUCAGCCGCUGCUUGAGCAGCAGAGGUAGCAUCCUUAAAUUUCCUGUUCCAAUACUGCCUACCAACAGAAAAAUUACCAUUACUAUCUCAAGGAAAUGAUUGCCCAUGUUCCAACCUUUCAUCCUUGAAACCUAAGUGACAUGAACCACCAUCAUCAUCACAAUAUUUCCUUGAAAGUUCUACAACAGCUCUGGCCGGCAGGCUUGCAUGUUCUACAAACUCAGUCGCUACUUGAGCAGCUGAGGUAGAAUCCUCAAAUUUCAUGUUCCAAUUCUGCUUGCCAAUAGAAAACUUACCAUUACCAUCUCCAGGAAAUGAUUGCCCAUGUUCCAACCCUUCAUCCUUGAAACCUAAGUGGCAUGAACUACCAUCAUCAACAUAAUAUUGCCUUGAAAGUUCUACAAUAGCUCUGGCAGCUAGCCUUGCAUGUUCUGCAAACUCAGCCGCUGCUUGAGCAGCAGAGGUAGUAUCCUUAAAUUUGAUGUUUCAAUUCUGCUUGCCAACGGAAAAAUUACCAUUACCAUCUCCAGGAAAAGCUU
rnacentral:lncRNA from 1 species